rnacentral:rRNA from 1 species
UACGAAGGGGGCUAGCGUUGCUCGGAAUCACUGGGCGUAAAGCGCACGUAGGCGGAUCUUUAAGUCAGGGGUGAAAUCCUGGAGCUCAACUCCAGAACUGCCUUUGAUACUGGGGAUCUCGAGUCCGGGAGAGGUGAGUGGAACUCCGAGUGUAGAGGUGAAAUUCGUAGAUAUUCGCAAGAACACCAGUGGCGAAGGCGGCUCACUGGCCCGGUACUGACACUGAGGUGCGAAAGCGUGGGGAGCAAACAGG